AAGUCGUAACAAGGUUUCCGUAGGUGAACCUGCGGAAGGAUCAUUAUCCUUUGCGUAGUGCUGUAACAAGCUCUACAAGCGCAUACACCCAUGUGUUGCGUAACAAAGCACAGCGACGAUGCCUAGUCAUUUUCGUUCCAAAAUCCAUGCUUGCUUAGCAUGGUCGGGUACCUAAGUCUGCGUUAACUCGCGGCAUAAGCGGUGGAUGCGUGUCCACCGUGUGGUGUAAAGAUUAUUCUAGCUGAAUAACGCCCGCUUAGCAAACUUUUAAUGACAAAUUUUAAAUCGCAAUACUAUGUUGUAUGUGUAAUGCACUAUCUUAUUACUUAUGAGAUAAUAACACAAAUACAACCCUAUGCGGUGGAUCAUUUGGCUC
rnacentral:misc_RNA from 1 species